GCUCCGGUCGCCUAGUGGUUAGAGUUUCCGCCUCAGAUGCGGAAAGUAGUAGGUUUGAUUCCUGGCCGAGUCA